rnacentral:misc_RNA from 1 species
GAUGAAGAACGUAGCGAAAUGCGAUAAGUAAUGUGAAUUGCAGAAUUCAGUGAUUCAUCGAAUCUUUGAACGCACCUUGCGCCCCUUGGUUAUUCCAAAGGGCAUGCCUGUUUGAGUAUCAUGAACACCUCAACUCUUGUGGUUUCCCACAAUGAGCUUGGACUGUGGAGGUUUUGUUGGCCCUGUGGUCAGCUCCUCUCAAAUGGAUCAGCUUACCGGUGUUUGGUGGCAUUACGGGUGUGAUAACUAUCUACGCUCGUGGUCGUCUCCAAAUAACCUCCAGUGAUGGAGGUUCGCUGGAGCUUAUAAAUGUCUCUCCCCAGUGAAGACAGCCUUUGAACGUUCGAUCUCAAAUCAGGUAGGACUACCCGCUGAACUUAAGCAUAUCAAUAAGCGGAGGA